UUCUCACCCAACUGGACAUGUUCACCUUCCUAGCGAGCUGAGUCGAUAGAAUCUGGAGUUAAACCGCUGCUGACCACUGAUGGGAUGGUGUGGACGGCGAGGCCACGCCUCCUGUUGUAUGCUGUGGUAGGGGCGUGGCUCUAAUCUGAAGCCUAUUCAGACAACCCGAUGAAAAGUCAGGUAACCAAGCUGCCUUCAAUCAACAAAUCCCCCUGUAGUAUAUCUACCCUGUUUCUUCAUCCACUCGUUGCCAGAUGGUUGUCCAACCUACCUGGUAGUGACAGCGCUUGGCUGCUCUUUGAAGAGCGGUUUCAGUAAUAGAAGUUUUUUGUUUGUCUGCCCGUGUUUCCGCUGACCCUGUAUUUGUGUCAUUUCAGUUAUCUGUCCUCCUGGUUCCCCAGUCUGUCUGCUGCUCCUUGAUAAUUUUUCUUUGAAGCUGGUAGUUUGUGUCGUCUGCAUGACUCACACUGUGACGACACAUGAAGGCAUCUCCGAGGCUUCUUUGGAGCCGCUGCAGACUGACGUCACCAACAUGCGUCUCCUCCAUCACAACUAUGCAGCUCAUUGGAAGUGGAGCCGAUCCCCUAAACACCGCCAUGUCCUUUCCUACCUCCUCAUCAACUCUCCUAGCCAUCUUUCCUUGACCCUGUGACGUAUUCCACUGAGGUCCAGGAAUAAUGGUUAGGAAUAGAGGUAGAGGCAUUUUUAUAAUAAUUCGAAUCUAGCCUCAACAUCUUGCCUGAGGAAAUUUGAACAUGCGUAAAGGUGGGCAGGGAUGAAACUGCCGUACACUCGUCCAUCUAUUACACGGAUAAUAGAAAUGCUCACAACAGUCCUGUUUGCUCAGCACUAAGUGGGGAAGCAGAGGGGAUAACAUCAGAUUGAAACCAGCUACUUUAUUUAUUUGAUUUAUUUGAUAUGAGACAGGGCAUAUUAAUAAACCAUUUCUGUAAAUGCGCCAGAGUCAGCCAAAAGGCUCAUUUAUAUCUGUAGUCCCAGGAGGCAGAUGUUAUGAAAUAAACCUAAAAACAGAAGAUACAACGAACUGCAUGUUUGUCAUUCUGUAAUUACAUUACAUGUCAUUUAGCUGACGCUUUUAUCCAAAGUGAAUUACACUGCAUUAUAACCCAUGCGUUACAUUGUUGCCUGGGGAGCAAUUACUGGUUGGGUGUCUCGCUCAGGGACACUUUGACAUGGAACAUCGCACUACUCCAUGCGCCACCAUCUUCCCAGUCAAUGGUCACUUUGUACUGAAAAUACUGACUGACUGAAAUCAAUUUUCCUGAGUGGGAUAAUGCAAUGCCCUCUUGUUGCACCUCUUGUGAGCCAAUAUCCAGUUGUUCAGGACUGUACAUGCCAAACCAGAUCAGCAAUAAUAUGCAAUCACUUUAUACUAUUAGUGUUGAGCCCUAAUCUUGGUCCCAAUGUGACAUUCUCAGUUGUGUUUGCUGCUCAAAUUGGACUAACACCUCAACACAUAUGCUGCAAUUUAACGGGGGAAGUAAAUGAAGGGCAAUUACAUUGACUUAAAAAUAGAAACAUUAACAAUGUGAAAUAAAACUUCCUUUAUUCCUAUAACCGGUCCCCAUUAUUUUCUUGCUUUAUUUAUUGAUGCAGAUUUAGCCACUUAACACAUGAAUUGUGAGUAGAGAUGUCACUGCCAAACCUGUAAAUCCCCAAUUUAUUUGCCUUAGUCUUGUAAUCAUUGCUGCAGAGAAUGGAACUUUUGUACAAAAAAAAUAAAUGCACCGCUGUUCUGAGA